rnacentral:rRNA from 1 species
GCCGUUCGCCUUCGUAGAGAGCCUGCGGAGGAUCAUUC